UACAGAGGGUGCGAGCGUUAAUCGGAAUUACUGGGCGUAAAGCGCGCGUAGGCGGCUUUGCAAGUCGGGUGUGAAAUCCCCAGGCUUAACCUGGGAACUGCAUUCGAGACUGCAUUGCUAGAGUAUGGGAGAGGGAAGUGGAAUUUCCGGUGUAGCGGUGAAAUGCGUAGAUAUCGGAAGGAACAUCAGUGGCGAAGGCGGCCCCCUGGGCCGGCCCUGACACUGAGACGCGAAGGCGUGGGGAGCGAACGGG
rnacentral:rRNA from 1 species